GCUCAAUUGAACAAUACAAGUAAAGAUGCAGAGAAAGUAUUCCUAGAAAUAUCCAAGCUCCUCCUCUACAUAAGGAAAUAAUGAGUACAUAUAUCAUCAAAAUCAUAAACAACUAACAAGAAUGUAUGCCAACAAGAAUGUAUAAACAGCUAACAACGACAAACAAGAAUGUAUAACUGAUAUCUAUUGUGUCCAAGUCAUAUAUAAAAGAAUUAGCAAUUUCAUCACAUAUGCCGAGCAUAAAAGCCCAACUAUUUGGUCUCUUCCUAAAUGUUGCAAUGGUAAAAACUUUUACAGUCAGAAAUUUUGGUUUAAUUUCAUCAACAAUCCCUCAACUUUGAGGGUUAUAAUGGUGCAGUCCAUCUUCAAUUUGUAUCAUAAAACUCUCCUACAUCAAUUUGAUUAGCACCGAAAUCACUAUUACUGUUUUCCAUCAAGGGUUCUGGACAGAGGUUGGCUUGGCGAUGCCAGCAUGGAUUUUAAAUAAUAUAAUAAAAUAAAUUCUCUCUCCUACAUGUUGGCACACAUUCUCUCCCCUCGCGUGCUCUCCAG
rnacentral:misc_RNA from 1 species